CCAUGUUAAUUUUUUAUUUAUCUGAAAGUNUAUAGUUAAGUGAAAUAAGUCCAUUAACAUAAAAAGUACCUGCAUUAGAGUGUAAGGUUAAUAAAUCAUGAUCAGACUUCAUCACUUCAGUGAACAAUCCAAAUAAAGCCUUAACACACAAAUGUAUAUCAUAUCUACAAUAAACAUCACAGUGCGAAUUAAUAUUAGGAAUACAAUUCCAGACAUGAUUUAAAAACAUACAUAAAGAAGGUACAAUACCCUUUAGAUGUUUAUCCAGCGGACACCAUGGUCCACUGCGUAAUGUUACUAAUCUACAUAAAAAAGAAAAACGUUCCUGACCAAACAGUGUAUAUGCACUAUAUGAAAACCAUGUAUUUACAUGAAAUUCAAUGCAAAGAUGACAAUUUGCGUAGUGCAACUGUUCAGAAUAAUUCCUCGAUCUUUCCGUCCUUCUCCUUCUUGGAUUUAAUUUUCUUAGUGCCUUUCGCUUCAUGGUCCCUGUAAUGUUGAAGUUUAUCCAUUUUAAUGUAAGUUUUCUUUCCUGCAGACUUAUUAAUCUUUAAACAAAUCUUAAUGCAUAAUACAAAUAAUACGAAACAACAUACAUAUAGCAAUCCUUCCUUAAGCCAAUGGAAAGGGUUCCAUCUCAUAAUGCAACUAACAUCUGCAUGAACUAAUUUUCUAAAGAAACCUACAAAACUACAAUCAUAAGUAUACUGAAAGUCACGCGGAAUCAAGUAUCCAGAAUCAACUAACAUUUUAACUUUAUGAGUUUCACCUGAAAAUCUUUGGAGAAGUUCAGUAGUUUGGUUAUGUACUGUCUCAAUUUCCUUUCCUAAUGAAGCAUAAACGGAUUUGGCUGCCUCUGUUGCUUUCAUCAUAUUUUUAUAUUCUUCUGACAGAGGUGGCUGGGGUACAAAAGAAUGUAACCCAAAAGUAUGAUUAGACAUAUAAACCACCUGAGUCAGGACUCGUAAGUUUUGCGUAGCAGUAAAAUACUUAGACCUAAAUAGAUGUUUCUUAACAGUUAGAUUCAUAUGUUCCAUCAUCAUGACAUUGGAAUGUACAUGACAACCAGCAUUCAGACUCAAAGAAUCACUAUAAGAAAUGUUUUGCCAUCGUUGAACCAUGUACGGUUCAGGAUAACAAGACAACAUAUUAAAAUUCCCAAGAUCUAACAAAGUAGCCUGAGGCAUAGAUAUAGUUAUAUCAGAAGUCCUAGGUUCAUCUGAGAAAAGAUCAUAUGCUAUAAUAGUUGUUUUACCUAUAGCAUAAGUGGCUUCACUAGGCACAUAAUAUGACAUAUUGUUCCAUUUUAACCAAUAAAACUUAUCAAAUGGUAUUAUCCAAUCUUUACCAAUUUUCUUCGGUAUAGCCUUAGUUGGAUAUCCUAUUACAACCUUAGAUGUCGACAUUUGCCAUAAAUUAAUCAUGCAGACACCAGUUUCACACCAAGAAUCCUUUGUAGGAUCUAAUAUGGUUAUAGCUGAUGCAGUUUCCAUGCCUAUGCCAGUUCUAAAUAACAGUCUUAUUUCUUCUAAUCCCGCGGUGAUCAUUGCUUGCAGAUGUCCACACUCCUGAGUUGCCUCCAAUUGUUUCAUACGUACAUUCCAUGAUGCAUCCAUGGUCUCAAUCACCUUACUUAAUGAAUCAACAUGAUGUUUCAAAAGUUCCUGUUCUGCAGAAAGUCUUUCCAUAAGUAAAGAUGCGGAGUGCAGAUUUUUAGAUAAUUGUGAGAUAACAAAGUUCUGUUUAUUCUGAAGUCCUCGAAGAGCUGAAAUUUCCACUCGAAGUUCCUCCGUCAUUGCUCCAGCGAUUGCUGCCCCCAAAGCUGCUCCGGCCAGGAAAGCGCCAAUCGCUGCGAACUGCAAAGGUCUCCGUCCUGCUGCAUUUCUUUGAACUGAAUAAAACAAAUCUGGCAACACAGUAGACUCAAAAGAAGGACAUACAGUUUCACCUUUCAACAAAUCACUAACAGACAAUCGUAACACAAUUGGCUGUACUUGUGGUUGUAUCAAAAAUCUAACUGGCUGAUGUAGUAAAGGUAAAAAUCCUGGAGCCUCUAAAGUCUUCAUAAAAUUACCGUCCUUUUCCUUGCGUGGGAAGAGGACCGCUCUUGGGAAAUGGGCAGUAACCCAUCCCUUGGUUUCAUCAAAUCCUCCUCUAUCGAUUAAACAAGGAUUCAAAGAGGUCGGUUCCAUGUAGCAUUUCUGCAUAUCCAUCUUUGUACUAUAUAUAAUAUGAUUACCUGCAUGUGCAUCAAACACAUCAGUAUUAUUAUGUAAAACAUCAUGUGUUACAAUAUCAUAAAGAUUCCAUUCAUUUUCACUUCCUGGUAAUAACAUAUACCAGUAAUAAGGUAAUUUUCCUGGAUAUAUUUUACUAGACCAAGUAGAGAAAUCCAUUCCUUGUGUCAACCACCAUUUCAGAGUUUUUCUAUCUGCUAUAUCCACAUGGUAUCUAAUUAUAGUAUCCCAGAGCUGUGCUCUAGGGCACCCAGUCUUCAAUGACCAGUAGUCAUCAGCAUUUACCAGGUAAGUGUCUGUUUUGUAAUUCACUAAAGUAACUUCAUCCAAAUCUGGUGGUACAAAUUCAAGAGAAUAUACUGUUGGAUGUAAAGUAUAAGUCCUCGUUUGUUUCUGCUGAUUGUCUAAUACAGCAUUACCACCUUCAUAAUGUUUGGAAAAGUUUCCAGUUAUAUUCACAUCAAGAGGGAUAUCAUAGUACGUGGAAUCAUUAUGCAUAAUAGACCUAUGAAUACCAAUCACAUAUUGCCAUGAAUGUGGAAACCAUCUGCAAGUAGAUCUUUCCAUAGCUAAACUAACAUUUUUAGUGUCCACAUAAUUAGAAUCAACUCCCAUCGGGAUUGACAUAUUAUGGACAUUCACUCUGAUUUUGUCAUCACUCAAAUUAAACACGGGAAUCAAAGUCCCAAAGAAAUCAUCAUAAAACUUAAAGGUACAGUCUUGGCAUUUAUAAUAAGGCCACUUUGAAGACUCUCCUUUGGAUCCAUUAUAAGUAUAAUCUAUUUGCAAAAAUGUGACAUUAUAAAAGUAUUUAUUCAAAAUAUCCUUGGGUGUGAUAACCAAUACAGGUUGCCAGGACUGAUUAUCAAACCUAUGCCACGUAUUAUUCACCUCAAGAUGCAUAUGAGAGGCAUUCAAAUAUACAGCAUGAAGAGGAUUCUGUACACAAUUUUGUCUGCUAAAAUUAUAACACCAUGUCCAAUUAAAUAUAUUAUAAUAUUGUGUGUAGUUUUUCCACACUGUCUGGUUAACAAUGUAUUCGUCCACGGUGAAUUUGUAAUCAUGUAACCCUGGACUAUGCACUCUCUGUCCCAAUUUCGGGCUAUCCACAAUCUCUGAGAGGUCCCAUUCAUUAUUGGCAUUUUUAAAAACAUACCUCCUUGUUUUGUUUUCAAAUAAUAGCCAUCCAGAGUGAUUAAACAUUCCAAAUUCAGGAUGUAAUACCCCAGUCGUCCUGUAGGCUGGACCCAGCCUACAGGCCUGUGUGUGAAUCUUAUAAGUUACAGAUGAAUAAUUACCAAUUUUAUAAUAAUAUCUAUAUUGGCACCACUUAAGGAAGGUUGAAUCAACAGGGAAGCAAACUCUACCAAUAAAUGCUUGUCCCUGUGUUCGGUUAAGCAUAUCUCCAAAAAUGCUACGGAUACAAACAUACCCGAUUUUAUCCUGUAAUUUAGGAGGCGUGGCCACUGGUUUAACCAAGUUAUGGGUAAAUGGCUGUGGUAAAGGGUCGGUCAACACAACAGGUGAUCGCCAAGUGGCGGUACCUAAGGUAUUGACUUUCCACCAAUUAUCUAUAGUAAGAUAAGAUUGGUUCCGUAUUUCUAAGGAUCUAUCAGGAUUCUGUAGAAUCUCGAACUUUCCAUAUAUAGGUAAAUUAGGAAAAUCCGCUACACAAGAUACANUUCACUAGGCACAUAAUAUGACAUAUUGUUCCAUUUUAACCAAUAAAACUUAUCAAAUGGUAUUAUCCAAUCUUUACCAAUUUUCUUCGGUAUAGCCUUAGUUGGAUAUCCUAUUACAACCUUAGAUGUCGACAUUUGCCAUAAAUUAAUCAUACAGACACCAGUUUCACACCAAGAAUCCUUUGUAGGAUCUAAUAUGGUUAUAGCUGAUGCAGUUUCCAUGCCUAUGCCAGUUCUAAAUAACAGUCUUAUUUCUUCUAAUCCCGCGGUGAUCAUUGCUUGCAGAUGUUCACACUCCUGAGUUGCCUCCAAUUGUUUCAUACGUACAUUCCAUGAUGCAUCCAUGGUCUCAAUCACCUUACUUAAUGAAUCAACAUGAUGUUUCAAAAGUUCCUGUUCUGCAGAAAGUCUUUCCAUAAGUAAAGAUGCGGAGUGCAGAUUUUUAGAUAAUUGUGAGAUAACAAAGUUCUGUUUAUUCUGAAGUCCUCGAAGAGCUGAAAUUUCCACUCGAAGUUCCUCCGUCAUUGCUCCAGCGAUUGCUGCCCCCAAAGCUGCUCCGGCCAGGAAAGCGCCAAUCGCUGCGAACUGCAAAGGUCUCCGUCCUGCUGCAUUUCUUUGAACUGAAUAAAACAAAUCUGGCAACACAGUAGACUCAAAAGAAGGACAUACAGUUUCACCUUUCAACAAAUCACUAACAGACAAUCGUAACACAAUUGGCUGUACUUGUGGUUGUAUCAAAAAUCUAACUGGCUGAUGUAGUAAAGGUAAAAAUCCUGGAGCCUCUAAAGUCUUCAUAAAAUUACCGUCCUUUUCCUUGCGUGGGAAGAGGACCGCUCUUGGGAAAUGGGCAGUAACCCAUCCCUUGGUUUCAUCAAAUCCUCCUCUAUCGAUUAAACAAGGAUUCAAAGAGGUCGGUUCCAUGUAGCAUUUCUGCAUAUCCAUCUUUGUACUAUAUAUAAUAUGAUUACCUGCAUGUGCAUCAAACACAUCAGUAUUAUUAUGUAAAACAUCAUGUGUUACAAUAUCAUAAAGAUUCCAUUCAUUUUCACUUCCUGGUAAUAACAUAUACCAGUAAUAAGGUAAUUUUCCUGGAUAUAUUUUACUAGACCAAGUAGAGAAAUCCAUUCCUUGUGUCAACCACCAUUUCAGAGUUUUUCUAUCUGCUAUAUCCACAUGGUAUCUAAUUAUAGUAUCCCAGAGCUGUGCUCUAGGGCACCCAGUCUUCAAUGACCAGUAGUCAUCAGCAUUUACCAGGUAAGUUUCUGUUUUGUAAUUCACUAAAGUAACUUCAUCCAAAUCUGGUGGUACAAAUGCAAGAGAAUAUACUGUUGGAUGUAAAGUAUAAUCCCUCGUUUGUUUUUCCUCAUUGCCUAAUACAACAUUACCACCUUCAUAAUGUUUGGAAACAUUUCCAGUUAUAUUUACAUCAAGAGGAAUAUCAUAGUACGUGGAAUCAUUAUGCAUAAUAGACCUAUGAAUACCAAUCACAUAUUGCCAUGAAUGUGGAAACCAUCUGCAAAUAGAUCUUUCCAUAGCUAAACUAACAUUUUUAGUGUCCACAUAAUUAGAAUCAACUCCCAUCGGGAUUGACAUAUUAUGGACAUUCACUCUGAUUUUGUCAUCACUCAAAUUAAACACGGGAAUCAAAGUCCCAAAGAAAUCAUCAUAAAACUUAAAGGUACAGUCUUGGCAUUUAUAAUAAGGCCACUUUGAAGACUCUCCUUUGGAUCCAUUAUAAGUAUAAUCUAUUUGCAAAAAUGUGACAUUAUAAAAGUAUUUAUUCAAAAUAUCCUUGGGUGUGAUAACCAAUACAGGUUGCCAGGACUGAUUAUCAAACCUAUGCCACGUAUUAUUCACCUCAAGAUGCAUAUGAGAGGCAUUCAAAUAUACAGCAUGAAGAGGAUUCUGUACACAAUUUUGUCUGCUAAAAUUAUAACACCAUGUCCAAUUAAAUAUAUUAUAAUAUUGUGUGUAGUUUUUCCACACUGUCUGGUUAACAAUGUAUUCGUCCACGGUGAAUUUGUAAUCAUGUAACCCUGGACUAUGCACUCUCUGUCCCAAUUUCGGGCUAUCCACAAUCUCUGAGAGGUCCCAUUCAUUAUUGGCAUUUUUAAAAACAUACCUCCUUGUUUUGUUUUCAAAUAAUAGCCAUCCAGAGUGAUUAAACAUUCCAAAUUCAGGAUGUAAUACCCCAGUCGUCCUGUAGGCUGGACCCAGCCUACAGGCCUGUGUGUGAAUCUUAUAAGUUACAGAUGAAUAAUUACCAAUUUUAUAAUAAUAUCUAUAUUGGCACCACUUAAGGAAGGUUGAAUCAACAGGGAAGCAAACUCUACCAAUAAAUGCUUGUCCCUGUGUUCGGUUAAGCAUAUCUCCAAAAAUGCUACGGAUACAAACAUACCCGAUUUUAUCCUUUAUUUUAGGAGGCGUGGCCACGGGUUUAACCAAGUUAUGGGUAAAUGGCUGUGGUAAAGGGUCGGUCAACACAACAGGUGAUCGCCAAGUGGCGGUACCUAAGGUAUUGACUUUCCACCAAUUAUCUAUAGUAAGAUAAGAUUGGUUCCGUAUUUCUAAGGAUCUAUCAGGAUUCUGUAGAAUCUCGAACUUUCCAUAUAUAGGUAAAUUAGGAAAAUCCGCUACACAAGAUACAUAAUGGGUAUAAUUCAAAUGAGUUCUGCUUUGCACAUCUUCAAUAUAUAUAGACAUAUUCCUUUGUUUAGUGCUCAUGGAAUCUAGAUACUGCUGUAACUCUUUUGGACACCAUGUCCCGUAGGGUUCAACUAAAACUUGCGGCCAUCUAGGCAACGGCCUAGCUCCUUGUAAAUGUCUAGGCAAUCUUUUCCACUCAUCCAACAUUUCCUUAGAAUCAUUAUAUGGCAACAAAUUUAUCCCCAACGUAGUUGUUCGUGGGGUUGUAGUUGUAAAUUCACCAGAACCUUCUUCUUCUCCAUCAUCAUAUGAAGAAUAGUCAUAUUUUUCAUAUUCAUAAUCGAAUAAAUUAUAAUCAUUCUGUUUGUUGGACACCCAAACCUGAAAAGGCAGUGAUGCAACAUCCUUUUCUGCUGCUUUUAUACAUGUAAAGUCAUUCUCUUCUGUAGACUCCUCAAAAGUAUAUACAGUAAGGUUUGGAUUAUUAAGCACUGCUGCUGUAGCAUUAUAGCUCUUAACUAAAGGUUUGCCUCCAAGUUUCCUAUAAUAAUACACAAAAUGUGGCUUAUAAGACCACAUAUCCAUAAUCCCAGGUACAAGAUGACAUCGGAGGGGGUUAGUUUCAUAUUUAUUAGAAGUUCCUCCAUCCGCACUAGAUCUAAACAUUGGGCUAUAUACCCCAACUGUAUUGAUGUCCCAAAAAUGGUCACACUCCUUAGGUGCGGAGUGUUUGUUAUAAUGGUGGCAAAAUGCAUAAUUAUGAUAAAACAGGUAUCUAAUAGCAGUAAAAUUUUGUAGGAAUUUGUUACUUUUCCAAUAUUGUGGUAUUACUGCACAAGAAUUAUUACACUCUUGAAGUGAAUGAGUGAAAUUAAUAUAAUUGAAGAUCCAAUCUUUGUAAGAAUGCUUGGUCAGGUUAAUGUUCCUGAUACCAAAAUAAUAUGGAGUUGUAGUAGUAAAAGUAGUGGGAGUUGUAGUUUGAUUUCCCAUUACUGAAUAGAACUGCAGGGCUAUCAAAAGUAGCAAAAAUAGCAAAAGUAACAAAGUCCUAGGUGCCAUUACCAGAAACAUAGUGUAUAAUUAAGUACAUAACAGGGUAGCAAAUCCCGUACCAACAAUUUAUGAUACGUUUGGUUCACGUUAAUAUGGGUACAGUCAAUACCGUUGUGAAUGUGUGA
rnacentral:lncRNA from 1 species